AAUUUUUGACGUAGUGAAGACAUGACAACAUUAGCAUUUCAGAGCUCAAAUGCUAUCUAAAUCAAACAUGGAUUUCCGCAAUAUGCCUUAGAAUUUUUCCUCCUUGAGAUGUUGGAAGUAGAUAUGUCCUGCUAGGCUGUCUCAUCUGUCUGUCCUAAUAGCAUCCACACCUUAAACCUGAUCCAACAUCAACACCUCUGGGUUCAUGGAAUGUUCAUCCCUCUAAACACUCAAUCUGGUUGGGGAUACGCUUGUGUAGAUAACCGCCAAGUGGUGACUUUCCAUUCGCUGCAAAUGGAUUAGUUGCUUCAUUCUUCUGAGGAUGUGGUUUAUGUUCGGUGGCGUUUUCUGAGAAGCAAGCAACCUAUCCGCGUCAAAGGAAGUAAGAAUUUAAGACAAUCAAUCUAAUUACACUUGGUGUUGGUGGACCUGGCUGUUGAAACUUACUUGUUUGGUGCUGAUAUCUUCAAUUUAUUGUUUUAGUUGAAGGGUGAGUUUUUAAUUUUUUUGGCUGCUCUAUCAGCAUGUUGUAGCUUUCACGAGAGGAUCUGUCUUGAUGCCAAAUUCACGAGAGAAUCUGUCUUGUAACGGAUUGUAAUCCCUUCUCUCUCUAACAUGACAAAAUGUGACGUGAUGAAGGAAAGAUAUAAGGGGAUAUACAACUGGAGAUAGCUUAGAAUAUUUACGAAUUUAGAGGUGAUCAGAUUAAUAUUACGUGUCAAAUGUGAAGAGAUGAAGGUUUUGAAUGAAAAGGGUUUAGGGUUGAGGUAUAGUUGUAUUUUCGAAUGAAAAGUCCCUUGAGGAAAAGGAAGGUUAAGGCUAUAAUUGUAUUUUCGAAUGAAAAGUGCCUUGAUUCUGUUUGGAUGAGGAAAUUUAAAAUUACUAAGAAAUUUUAAAACGACAGAAAUUGAAAUGAUGGAAUUGUAUUUUUAGAAUUUAUGAAUUUUCUUGUUUAGUUAACCCAAAAGAAUAAUACUAUGUUUGGAUGAGAGAAAUAAACUUGGAAUUUUGAUAACAGUCGGAAUUUAUAAAUUGACAUGCACCAAUUUUCUUGUUUGGAUUCAUAAAUAUAGAAAUUUAGAAUUUAUGCGUGAAAAAAAACUUGGAAUUUGGGACCUCCAAUUCUCAAGUUCAAAUUCUAUGUAAGUAGGUGUCAUUUCCCAAUUUCUAUGAUUGAGAGUUUAAAUGACACACCCCGACCCAGAGGAUCAAGGCGUGCUGGCCGUCACGUGAGCGUGACGUAACCAAAAGUGCGACACGAAAGCAAGAUAUAACAGAAUAUGAAGGAAUUCAAACCAAUCUCUAGUAGAACCACCUACUAGAAUAAAAGGAUGAGUUAUAAGGUAAACACAUAAAUUCAGAGCAUAGGUUUAAGUGCAGUCAAGUAGGACCAAAAUAGAAGUACAACACCUACAGGUGGGUCCUACAUGUAGAGCGUCUGUCAGAAUGCCGGAAAAAGACAUCGAGAGCCACCAACUGCUAACUAGAACCUGGAGGGGCGCAAAACAAAGAUGAGUGGGUCAGUAAAAUCAAAGAUUUUCCAAAACAUUUCAUUUAAAACAUUUCUAACCCCUCACCGUAAAACCUGUAUACUUUCCCAGAAAAAUAGUAUAUAAACAUAUAUAUACACAUAUCAUCAAAACUCAUAUCCAUCAACAUAACAUCUCAGAAAUAAUAUGCCACGCCAUGCCAAAUAUAAUAAAAAAUGCAUCAAUAUCAAUCAGGUGAAAUAAUAAAUCAACCGGAGACCCUACAAUGGUCCUGUACGGCUGAUUCUAAAGCUCAACAUCCCACUCAGCCGGAGUCAACACAGUGACCUAUACGGCCCUGCCGGAGUCACCAACUGUGACCUGUACGACAUUACACUGCACAUCACUCGGAACUACGUAUAGUAGUCUGUACGAUGAAAGGUGUAUAAAUACACUCUAGUGUUUCUCUCAUCAAUCAUCAGCGCGCAUAACUAAGGUCACCCACUAGUCGGAAUCACAUCUAGUGAUCUAUACAACUAGCAUGUCGGAACCCUUACAUGGUCUGUACGACAUCCACCUACUUGGAUCCAAGGCGAGCGUGCGGUGUGGUGAAUAAUAAUAUAAGCACUAACACCUAGGGUGCAGGUUAUGAGCUUUCAAUGCAAUUCUCAUAAAAUAACUCAUCUGAAUAAUAUAAAAACUCACCUGUGCAUCCACCGUGUCAAUUAACAUAUAUAUGCAUCAAUUAUCAAACUAAAUAUCUCAACAUUUGCAUGCAUGGCAAUUUAAAUCAUAAUUUUCAUAUAAACGCAUUUUCUGGGAAAACAGUUGUAUAUAGGUUAUACGAAAACAAAACUGCCCACUCACUGAUAAGUCGAUGGGUCGUAACCCCCGUGACGUCCCUGGAUGCGCUCGUCCUCGGGAUAGGUGUCACCUAUAUGCGAAACAACUAUAAAAACGUUAAUUUAAACACAUAACCAACAAUUCGAAAUAACUUCUCAUACGAUGCUCAAUUUGGGUAUAUGAAUACAUCACAUCGACCUACUCGACGUCACGGACGUCGAGAAAUUUUUAAAUAAAUUUUUUGGUGUCGCACGCGCCCCCACGUGCCAGGGAACGCACGGAUACACGCGCCCUCCACGCGCGUCAUCUUCCCCAGCCAGUCGCCGGACUGGUUUUUCCGGUAGCCGAAUUCCGGCGAGUUUUAAAACUUCUUGUUCUCCUUCGUUUCUCAACCAUUUUCUUCGUAUUUUAUACCAAAAUGAAGGCCCAAACAUGUAUAAUCACGAUACACUAUUUUUAAACUCCAAAAACAACUAAAUCUCAACGGAAAAAUCCAAGCAAAACCGGCCAAACUCAACCCUUGUGAUCCCGACGUCCAAAUCCUUCAAACGAAGCACUCCGAGCUUCCUUGGGACCUCACUAAGCUCACUAUAAGCUUAGAAUUCCCCGAAACACAACAUUUCACGUGUGCAUGAACAGUGACCAAAAAUGGGGGAUUCGGGUUCACGUGAAAUCGAAGGUUCCACGUCCUAAAACUAGCACCAAUCAACUCAAAACAUCAUGAGGAUGAAGAUUCAUACCUUGGUUGCUUCGAUCCACUGAGUUUUGGGGGAUUUUGGGUGUGAGCCGUACGUUUUGG
rnacentral:lncRNA from 1 species